rnacentral:rRNA from 1 species
GUAGGUGGCAAGCGUUGUCCGGAAUUAUUGGGCGUAAAGCGCGCGCAGGCGGUUCUUUAAGUCUGAUGUGAAAGCCCACGGCUCAACCGUGGAGGGUCAUUGGAAACUGGAGAACUUGAGUACAGAAGAGGAAAGCGGAAUUCCACGUGUAGCGGUGAAAUGCGUAGAGAUGUGGAGGAACACCAGUGGCGAAGGCGGCUUUCUGGUCUGUAACUGACGCUGAGGCGCGAAAGCGUGGGGAGCAAACAGGGAUUAGAUACCCGUGGUAGUCCACGCCGUAAACGAUGAGUGCUAAGUGUUACGGGGGUUUCCGCCCCCUUAGUGCUGCAGCUAACGCAUUAAGCACUCCGCCUGGGGAUACGGCCGCAAGGCUG